rnacentral:rRNA from 1 species
UGUAGAAUGAACCGGCGAGUUACGAUUUGAUGCAAGGUUAAGCAGUAAAUGUGGAGCCGUAGCGAAAGCGAGUCUGAAUAGGGCGUUUAGUAUUUGGUCGUAGACCCGAAACCAGGUGAUCUACCCUUGGUCAGGUUGAAGUUCAGGUAACACUGAAUGGAGGACCGAACCGACUUACGUUGAAAAGUGAGCGGAUGAACUGAGGGUAGCGGAGAAAUUCCAAUCGAACCUGGAGAUAGCUGGUUCUCUCCGAAAUAGCUUUAGGGCUAGCCUCAAGUGAUGAUUAUUGGAGGUAGAGCACUGUUUGGACGAGGGGCCCCUCUCGGGUUACCGAAUUCAGACAAACUCCGAAUGCCAAUUAAUUUAACUUGGGAGUCAGAACAUGGGUGAUAAGGUCCGUGUUCGAAAGGGAAACAGCCCAGACCACCAGCUAAGGUCCCAAAAUAUAUGUUAAGUGGAAAAGGAUGUGGCGUUGCCCAGACAACUAGGAUGUUGGCUUAGAAGCAGCCAUCAUUUAAAGAGUGCGUAAUAGCUCACUAGUCGAGUGACACUGCGCCGAAAAUGUACCGGGGCUAAACAUAUUACCGAAGCUGUGGAUUGUCCUUUGGACAAUGGUAGGAGAGCGUUCUAAGGGCGUUGAAGCAUGAUCGUAAGGACAUGUGGAGCGCUUAGAAGUGAGAAUGCCGGUGUGAGUAGCGAAAGACGGGUGAGAAUCCCGUCCACCGAUUGACUAAGGUUUCCAGAGGAAGGCUCGUCCGCUCUGGGUUAGUCGGGUCCUAAGCUGAGGCCGACAGGCGUAGGCGAUGGAUAACAGGUUGAUAUUCCUGUACCACCUAUAAUCGUUUUAAUCGAUGGGGGGACGCAGUAGGAUAGGCGAAGCGUGCGAUUGGAUUGCACGUCUAAGCAGUAAGGCUGAGUAUUAGGCAAAUCCGGUACUCGUUAAGGCUGAGCUGUGAUGGGGAGAAGACAUUGUGUCUUCGAGUCGUUGAUUUCACACUGCCGAGAAAAGCCUCUAGAUAGAAAAUAGGUGCCCGUACCGCAAACCGACACAGGUAGUCAAGAUGAGAAUUCUAAGGUGAGCGAGCGAACUCUCGUUAAGGAACUCGGCAAAAUGACCCCGUAACUUCGGGAGAAGGGGUGCUCUUUAGGGUUAACGCCCAGAAGAGCCGCAGUGAAUAGGCCCAAGCGACUGUUUAUCAAAAACACAGGUCUCUGCUAAACCGUAAGGUGAUGUAUAGGGGCUGACGCCUGCCCGGUGCUGGAAGGUUAAGAGGAGUGGUUAGCUUCUGCGAAGCUACGAAUCGAAGCCCCAGUAAACGGCGGCCGUAACUAUAACGGUCCUAAGGUAGCGAAAUUCCUUGUCGGGUAAGUUCCGACCCGCACGAAAGGCGUAACGAUUUGGGCACUGUCUCAACGAGAGACUCGGUGAAAUCAUAGUACCUGUGAAGAUGCAGGUUACCCGCGACAGGACGGAAAGACCCCGUGGAGCUUUACUGUAGCCUGAUAUUGAAAUUCGGCACAGCUUGUACAGGAUAGGUAGGAGCCUUUGAAACGUGAGCGCUAGCUUACGUGGAGGCGCUGGUGGGAUACUACCCUAGCUGUGUUGGCUUUCUAACCCGCACCACUUAUCGUGGUGGGAGACAGUGUCAGGCGGGCAGUUUGACUGGGGCGGUCGCCUCCUAAAAGGUAACGGAGGCGCUCAAAGGUUCCCUCAGAAUGGUUGGAAAUCAUUCAUAGAGUGUAAAGGCAUAAGGGAGCUUGACUGCGAGACCUACAAGUCGAGCAGGGUCGAAAGACGGACUUAGUGAUCCGGUGGUUCCGCAUGGAAGGGCCAUCGCUCAACGGAUAAAAGCUACCCCGGGGAUAACAGGCUUAUCUCCCCCAAGAGUUCACAUCGACGGGGAGGUUUGGCACCUCGAUGUCGGCUCAUCGCAUCCUGGGGCUGUAGUCGGUCCCAAGGGUUGGGCUGUUCGCCCAUUAAAGCGGUACGCGAGCUGGGUUCAGAACGUCGUGAGACAGUUCGGUCCCUAUCCGUCGUGGGCGUAGGAAAUUUGAGAGGAGCUGUCCUUAGUACGAGAGGACCGGGAUGGACAUACCUCUGGUGUACCAGUUGUCGUGCCAACGGCAUAGCUGGGUAGCUAUGUGUGGACGGGAUAAGUGCUGAAAGCAUCUAAGCAUGAAGCCCCCCUCAAGAUGAGAUUUCCCAACUUCGGUUAUAAGAUCCCUCAAAGAUGAUGAGGUUAAUAGGUUCGAGGUGGAAGCAUGGUGACAUGUGGAGCUGACGAAUACUAAUCGAUCGAAGACUUAAUCAA